rnacentral:rRNA from 1 species
AUCUUGGUUCAGGAUGAACGCUAGCUACAGGCUUAACACAUGCAAGUCGAGGGGCGAGCGAGAGGAAAGCUUGCUUCCUUGUCGGCGACCGGCGCACGGGUGAGUAACGCGUAUCCAACCUUCCCCUUAGUAGGGCAUAGCCCGGCGAAAGUCGGAUUAACACCCUAUGUUAUCCGAAGAGGACAUCUGAACUGGAUUAAAGGUUUACCGCUAAGGGAUGGGGAUGCGUCUGAUUAGGUAGUAGGCGGGGUAACGGCCCACCUAGCCGACGAUCAGUAGGGGUUCUGAGAGGAAGGUCCCCCACAUUGGAACUGAGACACGGUCCAAACUCCUACGGGAGGCAGCAGUGAGGAAUAUUGGUCAAUGGGCGAGAGCCUGAACCAGCCAAAAGUAGCGUGCAGGAUGACGGCCCUAUGGGUUGUAAACUGCUUUUAUACGGGGAUAAAGUGAGGGACGUGUCCCUUUUUGUUAGGUACCGUAUGAAUAAGGACCGGCUAAUUCCGUGCCAGCCGCCGC